rnacentral:tRNA from 1 species
GGAGAGAUGGCGGAACAGACCAAAGUGGGGGAUUGCUAAUCCAUAGUAUGGAUUAUCCGAGGGUUUGAAUCCCUCUCUCUCUU